rnacentral:rRNA from 1 species
GACGAACGCUGGCGGCGUGCUUAACACAUGCAAGUCGAACGGAAAGGCCUGCUUUCCCUUGUGGAUUGCGGGUACUCGAGUGGCGAACGGGUGAGUAACACGUGAGUGAUCUGCCCCCAACUUGGGUAUAAGCCUGGGAAACUGGGUCUAAUUCCCGAUAGGACUGCAGGGUGGUGCCUGUGGUGGAAAACGAUUUUCUAGUGGUUGGGGAUGAGCUCGCGGCCUAUCAGCUUGUUGGUGGGGUAAUGGCCUACCAAGGCGGCGACGGGUAGCCGGCCUGGGAGGGGGGACGGCCACAUUGGGACUGGGAUACGGCCCAGACUCCUACGGGAGGCAGCAGUGGGGAAUAUUGGACAAUGGGCGGAAGCCUGAUGCAGCGACGCCGCGUGGGGGAUGACGGCCUUCGGGUUGUAAACUCCUUUCGACCGCGAGGAAGCCACCUGGUUGGAAGGGUGGUGACGGUAGUGGUAGAAGAAGCACCGGCUAACUACGUG